ensembl:misc_RNA Metazoa_SRP Metazoan signal recognition particle RNA
GCUGGGCGCAGUGGUGCGCACCUGUAGUCCCAGCUACUCGGGAGGCUGAGGCGGGAGAAUCGCUUGAACUCGGGAAGCGGAGAUUGCAGUGUGCCGAGAUCAUGCCACUGCAAUCCAGCCUGGUUAACAGAGUGAGACUCCGUCUCUA